ACACCGGCAGCUCAAGUGGUAGCCGCUUUUAUUGGGCCUAAAGCGUCCGUAGCCGGUCUGAUAAGUCUCUGGUGAAAUCCCACAGCUUAACUGGGGGAAUUGCUGGAGAUACUAUCAUGACUCGAGGUCGGGAGAGGCUGGGGGUAAUCCCAGGGAAGGGGUGAAAUCCUGUAAUCCUGGGAGGACCACCUGUGGCGAAGGCGUCCAGCUGGAACGAACCUGACGGUGAGGGACGAAAGCCAGGGGCGCGAACCGGAUUAGAUACCCGGGUAGUCCUGGCCGUAAACGAUGUGGACUUGGUGUUGGGAUGGCUUCGAGCUGCCCCAGUGCCGAAGGGAAGCUGUUAAGUCCACCGCCUGGGAAGUACGGCCGCAAGGCUGAAACUUAAAGGAAUUGACGGGG
rnacentral:rRNA from 1 species